AGUUUGACUGGGGCGGUCUCCUCCUAAAGAGUAACGGAGGAGCACGAAGGUUGGCUAAUCCUGGUCGGACAUCAGGAGGUUAGUGCAAUGGCAUAAGCCAGCUUGACUGCGAGCGUGACGGCGCGAGCAGGUGCGAAAGCAGGUCAUAGUGAUCCGGUGGUUCUGAAUGGAAGGGCCAUCGCUCAACGGAUAAAAGGUACUCCGGGGAUAACAGGCUGAUACCGCCCAAGAGUUCAUAUCGACGGCGGUGUUUGGCACCUCGAUGUCGGCUCAUCACAUCCUGGGGCUGAAGUAGGUCCCAAGGGUAUGGCUGUUCGCCAUUUAAAGUGGUACGCGAGCUGGGUUUAGAACGUCGUGAGACAGUUCGGUCCCUAUCUGCCGUGGGCGCUGGAGAACUGAGGGGGGCUGCUCCUAGUACGAGAGGACCGGAGUGGACGCAUCACUGGUGUUCGGGUUGUCAUGCCAAUGGCACUGCCCGGUAGCUAAAUGCGGAAGAGAUAAGUGCUGAAAGCAUCUAAGCACGAAACUUGCCCCGAGAUGAGUUCUCCCUGAGACUUAGAGUCUCCUGAAGGAACGUUGAAGACGACGACGUUGAUAGGCCGGGUGUGUAAGCGCAGCGAUGCGUUGAGCUAACCGGUACUAAUGAACCGUGAGGCUUAACCUU
rnacentral:rRNA from 2 species